ensembl:lncRNA
CUGGCCUCGAACUCAGAAAUCUGCCUCCCGAGUGCUGUGAUAAAAGGCGUGUGCCACCACGCCCGGCUGGAGGUUGACACUUUGUAGUGACAGGGUUCGGUAAUUCUCAGAACAGAAAGCAAGAGUGUAUCGGUUUCCUCAUUUGAUGGCUACGUAUGUUUCCUUUGUAAGUUCUCGUUUCUGGGUUGGACCUUCUAAGUAAUUACCAGGCCCCAAGAAACUACAUCUGCACACCCCUUCAAGACUGUUUACCCGGCCCUGUCACUGGAUCACUCGUAUUUCCUAGAAUGGGAAGGGCAAGGGGUUUGCAGAGGACUGCCUCCCUUCCUCUCACUCUCCGGUGAUCGCUCUGGGACAAAUAUCCCCACGUCACUCAGUGCGGAGCUCUGGCCCGGAGCAGCGCAGGGCCGGGGCACGUGACCCGCCCGCAGUCCUCGCUGUGGCCCGCGGCCCGGGAUGCAGUCGCGCUGACGUCCUCCCGGCUACCCACAAGCCUCUGUACCCCGGUGCGGGCAGGAAGAGGGCAACCGGGUCCAGUGGCUGCCCGGGAGAUCGGGGUGCCUUCUGUUGCUGGACGCGGACUGCCCGGCAACCCCCGGGCACACUGGCGGCUACCGGUCUCUCCCCGUGGCGGGGAAGGAGACUGCCCCGGCUCGGGCUGUCGUCCUAACGUGCUGGCCCGUGUCUGGGACGCCGGGGCCAGGGCGCUCUGCUGACAGCUGUCAGGCUGUCAGCGACUCCCGGGCACUCCCCGGUCUGCGUCACCGCGUACCGGUCAUCAGGUUCUUCCUAACAUCUAGGAAUGGUAGCGCAGGGCCACUCGAGUACCAUAUGGCGUCUAGUACGUGCUGCCGUUUAGUAAGUAUUAGCCUCGCAGGCCCGACCUGGCUGCCCCUCCGCACCAGCCCUUCCUGUCCCUCUGCCUCAUCGCCUGCGGUCUCGCGUCUGCUCCAGACUCUCGCGCGCCCCUCCUCUCCGCGGCUGACGAGCCUCUUCCUCCUUCGCUCUCAGCGCCGAGCUCCGGACUGCAUUUCCCGGCAGGCGCCGCGGCCAGUAGCCAAUAGGAGACCUAGGAUUUGGCGGCGGCGGCGCCGAACGGGGCGGGGGGGCUUUGUGCGCGGAGGCGGCGGCGGCGGCGGCGACGGCGACGGCGGCGGGAGCUGGCGGCGCGGAGAUCCGGACGGAGGCCGAGGCCGGGGCUGGGUUGCCGGGUGUCUGCUGGGAGAGGUGUGCAGCUUUCGAUCAGAACCCUGGGACCCUGCUGCCCUUCGGGGCCGCCAGCCUCCGGCUCCUCUCCGGCACCAGCAGCUACGCGGCGACCCCCGUCCGGCCGCCUCCCCUUCGCUCCGCGUCGCCCGCAGCCUUCCGUCUGCCCGCAAAACGCUCGAGCCCGGCCGGCCGGGCCGUGGCCGUCCUCAGUGCCGGCCGCCAUGGCAGGGGUGCUCGGCGCGGGGGAAAUCUAGUCCGAGGAUUUCAUGCGGCCUAGCUCGGUUCCGUCUCCUGCGCCCGCGGUCCCGGCAGCUGCCGGCAACCCAGCCCCACUUCGGGCCUCCGUGUCUCUCCUGUGAUCGCACUGACACGGCAGGGGGGUUAGAAUGGAACAAACUGAAGGCUCGAUGAGAGAAAGGGAAAGUUAAGGAUGCUGGAGCAGAACAAUGGAUUUCUCUUUCUCUUUCAUGCAAGGGAUCAUGGGAAACACAAUUCAGCAACCACCUCAACUCAUUGACUCGGCCAACAUCCGCCAGGAGGAUGCCUUUGAUAACCACAGUGACAUUGUUGAAGAUGGUGGCCCGACACCCUUUGAAGCUACUUUGCAACAAGGUUUUCAAUAUCCACCUACAACAGAAGACCUUCCUCCGCUCACAAAUGGCUACCCACCAUCAAUCAGCUUGUAUGAAACUCAAACCAAAUACCCGCCAUAUAAUCAGUAUCCCAAUGGGUCAGCCAACGGUUUUGGUGCAGUUAGAAACUUUAGCCCUACUGACUAUUACCAUUCAGAAAUUCCAAACACAAGACCACAUGAAAUUCUGGAAAAACCUUCUCCUCCUCAGCCACCUCCUCUUCCUCCUCCUCCUCCUCCUCCUCCUCCUUCGGUACCACAAACUGUGAUUCCAAAGAAGACAGGCUCACCCGAGAUUAAACUAAAAAUAACCAAAACUAUCCAGAAUGGCAGGGAAUUGUUUGAGUCUUCCCUUUGUGGAGACCUCUUAAAUGAAGUACAGGCAAGCGAGCACACAAAGUCUAGGCAUGAAAGCAGAAAGGAAAAGAGGAAAAAGAGCAACAGACACGAGUCAUCUCGAUCCGAAGAACGGAGGUCACACAAGAUUCCCAAGCUAGAGCCAGAGGGACAGAAUGUAAGUCCAAAUGUUCUGUGUAGCUUUGUCGACUCUGUGUUUACUGGAAGUUGGGAAUCUUUUUUAUGUUUUUCUUUUCAAAUAUG